rnacentral:rRNA from 1 species
GCCAGCAGCCGCGGUAAAACGUAGGAGGCUAGCGUUAUCCGGAUUUAUUGGGCGUAAAGCGCGUGCAGGCGGUCUGGUAAGUUGGAUGUGAAAGCUCCUGGCUUAACUGGGAGAGGUCGUUCAAUACUGUCAGACUAGAGAAUGGGAGAGGGAGGUGGAAUUCCGGGUGUAGUGGUGAAAUGCGUAGAUAUCCGGAGGAACACCAGUGGCGAAAGCGGCCUCCUGGACCACUUCUGACGCUAAGACGCGAAAGCUAGGGUAGCAAACGGGAUUAGAGACCCCGGUAGUCCUAGCCGUAAACGAUGUGAACUUGGCGUUGGCGGAGUUAAAUCUGCCAGUGCCGAAGCUAACGCGAUAAGUUCACCGCCUGGGGACUACGACCCGCAGGUUAAAACUCAAAGGAAUUGACGGGGACC